rnacentral:tRNA from 1 species
GCCGCCUUAGCUCAGUCGGCAGAGCGAGUAACUCGUAAUUACUAGGUCGGGAGUUCGAUUCUCCCAGGCGGCU